rnacentral:tRNA from 1 species
GCUCAGUUGGCCGAGUGGAUUAGGCAACGCAUUCAGGGUGCGUGGGAAACCCAACACAGGUUCGAAUCCUGUACUGAGCACCA